rnacentral:rRNA from 1 species
UGCGUAGGCGGACUAAUAAGUCAGUGGUGAAAUCUCUCUGCUCAACCGGGAAACUGCCAUUGAUACUGUUAGUCUUGAGUUCGGUUGAGUUAGGCGGAAUGUGUAAUGUAGCGGUGAAAUGCUUAGAUAUUACACAGAACACCAAUUGCGUAGGCAGCUUACUAGACCGACACUGACGCUGAGGCACGAAAGCGUGGGUAGCGAACAGGAUUAGAUACCCUGGUAGUCC